AGCACAUGAAAUAUAUGUGGCAGAGAGACGGAGGAUGCCCAACACGCUGUUCUGAAAUGUACCAAAGCUACAGCUCUCCGGGAGGAAAUGAGAGAGCACUGGACCUUACCAAGUGAAACUCUGCUUGUUACUCGGGACCCGGACUGGCUACUUCAUGCUCUCAGUCUUUGUUCUGGAGACAUGCGAGAAAAGCUGCUCUUGGUUUUAUGGCGUUCCUGGCAUCUUAGGGACGACAUUGUGCAUGACAAAGGAAAAGCA
rnacentral:rRNA from 1 species